UACGUAGGGCGCAAGCGUUGUCCGGAAUUAUUGGGCGUAAAGAGCUCGUAGGCGGUUUGUCGCGUCUGCUGUGAAAACCCGAGGCUCAACCUCGGGCCUGCAGUGGGUACGGGCAGACUAGAGUGCGGUAGGGGAGAUUGGAAUUCCUGGUGUAGCGGUGGAAUGCGCAGAUAUCAGGAGGAACACCAAUGGCGAAGGCAGAUCUCUGGGCCGUAACUGACGCUGAGGAGCGAAAGCAUGGGGAGCGAACAGG
rnacentral:rRNA from 1 species